GUGAGUCAGGCAGAAAGAGGAAAUGGAAAUUUGAUUUCUUGCUAGGAAUCCGCAAACAGAAGUUCGCGUUGCUUGGUUUGCUGAGUAAUUGUAGAGGAACCUUGCUUUUUGGGCGCGCAAGCGGGGCCGCUUACACGGGAAAUGUUUGCCCACGACUUGGCUCUUCACACUGUUUGCUUCUCUGUGUUACUGUUCAGUGACUACGUAAAGGUUUAAAUGACCCAGGCCCUCUGGUGUGCUUUAGAGUUGCCGCCAGAGUAAACCCUUGUGCCUUUAUGGAGCACAGAGACUGUUUACGGAGCGUCCCUUACUCCCACCCCUAAGCUUUGCUGUGCUCGAAGAGUCCACCUGUGCACAGCUGUACGUCACCAUCACUACUUGACGUUACAAGUGAACACUUGUUACCUAUCAGGUUAUGUGAUUGCGAAGUGCUUUCAGCUUCCAGCUUUCAGGGCUGUGCUCAACUGAUCAGUAUGUAAAAGGGGUUUUCCCCCCAAAUUUGUGUGUGUGUGUGUGUGUGUGUGUGUGUGUGUGUGUACACCCUCCACACACAGACACAUACACACACCCCGUGUCUGUUAGCAGAAAAAUGCAGGUGGGUGGGUGCUGGGAAGUGGUGUUCUGAAAAGUGGCUUCUGAGAACUCAGAGGCCCCAGCCCUUCUUCCACCUAGGGGCGGGAAACAAGAGUAUAGAGUUGCCAGGCCUGCUGGAUUUUCAAGAGAAAAAUUUUUGUGACUUCCUGUUUGAAAAUAUCAGCAGUGUAAUUCAAUUCAAGCACAGAAGGUCAAACAAGAAAUCACUGCAGGUUCACAGAAGUAAGCUGAGCUACUGGAGGAAGAUCUAGAUUCCAUUCUUUUAAGUACAGUGAGAACCGGGAAGAAAGAGUAGAAGGAAGCAGAAUUUAGCAAGCCGCUUGCCGCACCCGUCCAGCUCGUCGGGAGUGUGCCGGCACAAGUGUUGAGAGCUCCCAAACCUCGAGAGGCCAGGCAGGUGACAGCAAGGCUGGUGGGGGAGCUGGGCCUGCGCCCGUCUGGUGGCCGGGCUUCGUUUCCAUGGCUGCGGUGUUACCGUCAGUUAAAGCGGCAGAAACUGGGCGGAGCACGGAUUGCGUGAGGUUCCAUCGCGCCAGCACUGAGGAGCAAUCACUCGCUGAUGGGCCAGCCACACCGCCUCCCUGGUGAACUUUCCUCUAAGAGCAAAGGCCCUUCGGGGGCCCAGUGCUUCUCCUAAGCCAUCCUUUCUUGCACCUGCUCCCCCUCCCCCAGCC
rnacentral:lncRNA from 1 species